CCUACGGGUGGCAGCAGUGAGGAAUAUUGGUCAAUGGACGAGAGUCUGAACCAGCCACGUAGCGUGAAGGAUGACUGCCCUAUGGGUUGUAAACUUCUUUUAUAUGGGAAUAAAAUGUUCCAAGAGUGGGAUUUUGUAUGUACCAUAUGAAUAAGGAUCGGCUAACUCCGUUCCAGCAGCCGGGGUAAUACGGAGGAUCCGAUCGUUAUCCUGAUUUAUUGGGUUUAAAGGGUGCGUAGGUGGAUUGUUAAGUCAGUUGUGAAAGUUUGGGGCUCAACCGGAAAAUUGCAAUUGAUACUGGCAGUCUUGAGUACAGUAGAGGUAGGCGGAAUUCGUGGUGUAGCAGUGAAAUGCUUAGAUAUCACGAAGAACACCGGUUGUGAAGGCAGCUUACUAAACUGCCACUGACAUUGAUGCUCGAAAGUGUGGGGAUCAAACAGGAUUAGAUACCCCAGUAGUC
rnacentral:rRNA from 1 species